rnacentral:rRNA from 1 species
UACAGAGGGGGCAAGCGUUGUUCGGAAUUACUGGGCGUAAAGGGCGCGUAGGCGGCCGCCUAAGUCAGACGUAAAAUCCCUCGGCUCAACCGGGGAACUGCGUCUGAUACUGGGUGGCUUGAAUCCGGGAGAGGGAUGCGGAAUUCCAGGUGUAGCGGUGAAAUGCGUAGAUAUCUGGAGGAACACCGGUGGCGAAGGCGGCAUCCUGGACCGGCAUUGACGCUGAGGCGCGAAAGCCAGGGGAGCAAACGGG